GGUUCCGUAGCUUAAAGGUAAAGCGUCCAACUCAUAAUUGGGUGAGUGUCAGUUCAACCCUGACCGGAGCCACCA
rnacentral:tRNA from 1 species